AUUCCACCAGGAAGUGGCAGUCACCGGGAUUCCACCAGGACAUGGCAACCACCGGGAUUCCCCCAUGAUAUGGCAGCCACAGGGAUUCCACCAUGACAUGGCAGCCACAGGGGUUCCACCAUGAAAUGGCAGCCACCGGGAUUCCACCAUGACAUGGCAGCCAUCGGGAUUCCACCAUGACAUGGCAGCCAUCGAGAUUAAACAUAACAUGUCAGCCACCGGGAUUCCACCAUGACAUGGCAGCCUGACAAGGCAGCCAUCAGGAUUCCACCAAGAAAUGGCAGCCAUCAAGCAAGAUUACACCAUGACAUGUCAG